rnacentral:lncRNA from 1 species
GCGAGAUUUCCAAAACUGACCUAUAAAGGCAAUAACACAAACAAUAUCAUAAUCUCAUAUUCGAUAACCAGAAUAACAACUUCCCAUUUUUAUCUACUUACUGGUAUCCAUGGGGGUCUAUAGGGAUGUCCUCACUACGCGUGAACCCUUAUUCAACAUUAUCAACUAACCAACCGUCCCCAUACCCCGUCCGGUAUGAGCACCAAAAUACCAAUCCUCAAUACCCCGUUCAGUGUGAGGCAACAUUCACGGUAGGGUUUCUUAUGCACCCGGUCCAUCCACUAU